rnacentral:lncRNA from 1 species
UAGCCAUUCAGAACUUUGAGGUAUAUGCUGGCUGUAGCAUAUUCAUUGUAGGAACCAGAUCGCACCAAGAAGGGAUCUGUCAACCUCGGUAGAUAAGAGGAGUAGUCCUAUGAUGAUCGAAAGAUUGAGUCCUUAAGCAUAUGACCAUGGUAGAGUGAAAUAAUAGAAAAGAGUUUUCCAUUAAGGUUUCACAUCAGACUUGGAUCGAUCGAUUGAUUCAUAUGACUGAUGUUGGGUUUGACGAGUUCACCUUAAU